AUUCCAUUGAUGGAAAGAACCCAAGUAUUAUGUAUUGUAGUAAUGGUGUUUUCCUUUUUCAAUUCAGAGUCAAGAGAAACCCUUAUCAAUAUAAGCCUUUAAUGCUUAAUGGACAGUUUUAUUUUGAUAAAAGAUUUGAGGAGGAUGCUUGGUUUGUGGCCAACCCUCUUACUGGUGAGUGGUUUCCAAUUCCGAAGUCUCCUUACCCCGUUCUCCACGGGGGUACUGUCGGGUUUACCUCUCAGGCUAACUCAGUUGGGGUUUUAGAGAGGUUUUUGGUUGUUGAAUAUCAGCCACUUAUUGGGUCUAAUCUUGCUACUUUGAUGUGCUUUUCUUCGGAAAUUGGGAAGUGGGUGACGAAAUCUGCAAAUUAUAUGCUGUCUAUGCAUCAAUGGGAGCAGGAUGGAGCUUUGGAGUUUGAUGGUAAGCUGUUUUGGUUUGAUAGAGGUUGUGGGCUAAUUGUGUGGGAUGACCCCUUUGGUAGCUUGGGCAGGAAGAGCACAGUAAAAUGUCGGUUCAUUGCGAAACCACCAUUGCUUUCUGCCAUGAGGGUCUUUGUGGGUGGAGGUUUCAUUCAAUGUUUGCAAAUAUCUGAGAAAAGGGAGGGUUAUGUUCUGUGGAGGUUGAAGGAUCAUCAAGAGUGAAGGAGAGUGGAGUUUGGCGCAUAAAGUGUCAAUUUUGGAUAUCUGGUCUGAUGAGAGCUAUUUAGCUUAUGGUUUGGAUGAAAUAACUCCAACAUGUUGCUUUAUCCAUCCCUUGGAAGCUGAUGUUGUCUUCUUUCAUAUUCAAGGCCAGAUUUUUUCGUUGAAUUUUCGGACUAAAAAGGUGGAGAGUUGUGGUGAUGGCUACUUGAGCAUCAUUGAACACGUGUUUGUUAUGCCAUAUGUGCUGCCAAGUUGGCCAACUUCACUCCCUCCAUGUUUGACUGCUGCUUAUGCAAAAGAACAGGGCAAUAACAAUUUCAUGGCCUGUAAAUUCAAUGAAGCUAUAAGCUGCUAUACCAGAAGCAUUGCUCUGUCACGAAGUGCUGAAGCUUAUGCUAAUAGGGCGAUGGCACAUAUCAUGGUCAGCAGAUUCCAUGAGGCUGAGGAUGAUUGUACACAAGCCUUGAACUUGGAUCCUACGUACUUUAAAGCCUAUAGUCGCUGAGCAUUAGCCAGAAAGGAACUUGGUAAUAUCGAAGGAUCCAUGUAUGAUGUAGAGUUUGCCUUGAAGUUGGAACCAGAUGACCAAGAAAUGAAGCAGUUAUAUGCUGAACUUAAUUCCUAGGUUGAGAAGGGGACUAGGCAACUGGCGCAGAAGUUUGAUCAUGAAGGGGUAGAAAAUGAGCUUGCUGUCUUGCUGAUGGUUUUGCAAUGAAACAUGUUGAUGUCACUAAUUUCAAAGAGUUUGUUAAUUGCAUUUGUUCUUUUUGUAAGGCAAAUGUCAUGUUUAAAAGAUGAUACAGAUUACUAUAACCACAACGAUGUAGUCCUGUCAAGAAAUUAAAAUUUUAGUUUAAAUGUGUAAUGAUGAUUGG